ACCUGUCUGGCUCAGUUGGUAGAGCAUGCAACCCUUAAUCUUGAGGUUGUGAGUCUGAGCCUCACGUUGGGUA
rnacentral:tRNA from 1 species